rnacentral:rRNA from 1 species
UGGGUAACCUGCCUUAUACAGGGGGAUAACAGUCAGAAAUGACUGCUAAUACCGCAUAAGCGCACAGGGCCGCAUGGCCCGGUGUGAAAAACUCCGGUGGUAUAAGAUGGACCCGCGUUGGAUUAGCUUGUUGGUGGGGUAACGGCCCACCAAGGCGACGAUCCAUAGCCGGCCUGAGAGGGUGAACGGCCACAUUGGGACUGAGACACGGCCCAGACUCCUACGGGAGGCAGCAGUGGGGAAUAUUGCACAAUGGGGGAAACCCUGAUGCAGCGACGCCGCGUGAAGGAAGAAGUAUCUCGGUAUGUAAACUUCUAUCAGCAGGGAAGAUAGUGACGGUACCUGACUAAGAAGCCCCGGCUAACUACGUGCCAGCAGCCGCGGUAAUACGUAGGGGGCAAGCGUUAUCCGGAUUUACUGGGUGUAAAGGGAGCGUAGACGGUGUGGCAAGUCUGAUGUGAAAGGCAUGGGCUCAACCUGUGGACUGCAUUGGAAACUGUCAUACUUGAGUGCCGGAGGGGUAAGCGGAAUUCCUAGUGUAGCGGUGAAAUGCGUAGAUAUUAGGAGGAACACCAGUGGCGAAGCGGCUUACUGGACGGUAACUGACGUUGAG